CACUGAGGUGCGUACAAGCAUGGGUGAGCUAGCUCCUGGAAGAUUACUGUCCAGAAUAUUUACUCAGCAGACUGCAAUAUUAGCCAGCACAGCCAGUUUAAGGACUCUGUGCACUGCAGCAGAGAUUGCAGUGUCAUUGGGCUGGGAUGCUUUAAUGUUCAGUCCUGGAAAUGGGAAUAACUUUAAGUGAUCAUCAGAAAUGUAUCUGCUCUGACUGCUGGCCACUGACUGGUAAAUUGAUUCCUUUCCUGGCUUGCGACAAGUGACCGUAGAGAGUGACUGCACAGAUGAGAGAUAUCUGGAAUGUCAAUUCUCCAGACCUCCUGCCUUCUGAGAGAACCCAUGAUUAAUUUUUUUCUGGAAGAGAG
rnacentral:lncRNA from 1 species